GAUGAACGCUGGCGGCGUGCCUAAUACAUGCAAGUCGAGCGAACAGACGAGGAGCUUGCUCCUCUGACGUUAGCGACGGACGGGUGAGUAACACGUGGAUAACCUACCUAUAAGACUGGGAUAACUUCGGGAAACCGGAGCUAAUACCGGAUAAUAUAUUGAACCGCAUGGUUCAAUAGUGAAAGACGGUUUUGCUGUCACUUAUAGAUGGAUCCGCGCCGCAUUAGCUAGUUGGUAAGGUAACGGCUUACCAAGGCAACGAUGCGUAGCCGACCUGAGAGGGUGAUCGGCCACACUGGAACUGAGACACGGUCCAGACUCCUACGGGAGGCAGCAGUAGGGAAUCUUCCGCAAUGGGCGAAAGCCUGACGGAGCAACGCCGCGUGAGUGAUGAAGGUCUUCGGAUCGUAAAACUCUGUUAUUAGGGAAGAACAAAUGUGUAAGUAACUAUGCACGUCUUGACGGUACCUAAUCAGAAAGCCACGGCUAACUACGUG
rnacentral:rRNA from 1 species